UACAUGGGGUGCAAACGUUGCUCGGAAUUAUUGGGCGUAAAGCGCACGUAGGCGGUCCGUUAAGUCGGAUGUGAAAGCCCCCGGCUCAACCGGGGAAGUGCAUCCGAAACUGGCAGGCUAGAGUACGAAAGAGGGUCGCGGAAUUCCCAGUGUAGAGGUGAAAUUCGUAGAUAUUGGGAAGAACACCGGUGGCGAAGGCGGCGAGCUGGUCCAUUACUGACGCUGAGGCGCGACAGCGUGGGGAGCAAACAGG
rnacentral:rRNA from 1 species